GUCUAAGCAGCAGAUUUGAAGUAAACAGUGAUAGCACAGGGACUGCAAAAAGGACGACGCAGAACUAAGUGAUUUAAUUCUGUCACUUCAGCCCGUGAGGAGACUCUACCAGUUGCAAAUGUGAAAUCUAGAUCACAGUAGAGUCUCACCCCAGCAAAGUGCCAUCUGAGAAGCACAGCGGGAGACAGACACCUGACUUGCCAGGUCCCAGCAGAACACAAUAGGUGCUGCUGGUGACAGAGGGCUGGAUGCCACAGCAGCUGGGCCUCACGACAAGUGUAUCGAGCAUGGGACAAUAGGCUGUGACAACCGGACAGUGGGGGUAAUGCAGAUAAAAGGCCUCAGGGAUAGCAUCCUGGGACUGAAAUUUGGGAAGUAAAAUGAAAAAGUUGUAUCUUUCUAUUACCAUCACUGUAAGGCUCCAGAAGUGACUCUAAGAAUAGUAUGAACUUACAAGAGAUUCAGAUUCUUGUUAUGACCUGGAUUUGCCUGUUCUUUUUAUUUUAGAUGCUUUCCUUUUGCACGGGACUUUUAUCACGCAAUCUGUAAACAUACUCAGACUCAAAGUCAGAAUUUUAAAUCUGGGUUUAAAAGAAAGCAUUACAGUAGCCAAUGUGGAAAACAGCAUUUCAAUAAAAUUCCAAUAAGCAUUCGUUUUAUGCUAAUGAA